CUUAGUGGCAGACGGGUGAGUAACGCGUAGAUAAUGUGACCUCUUGCGGGGGAUACCGUUUCGAAAGGAACGUUAAUACCGCAUAAAGUCCCAGGGAGGCAUCUCCCAGGGACCAAACUUCCGGGGCGGGAGGAGCAAUCUGCGUACUAUCAGGUAGUUGGUGAGGUAACGGCUCACCAAGCCUACGACGGUUAACUGGUCUGAGAGGAUGAUCAGUCACACUGGAACUGAGACACGGUCCAG
rnacentral:rRNA from 1 species